rnacentral:rRNA from 1 species
AAAUCGAGUGGCGAACGGGUGAGUAACGCGUGAGGAACCUGCCUCAAAGAGGGGGACAACAGUUGGAAACGGCUGCUAAUACCGCAUAAGCGCACGGUACCGCAUGGUACGGUGUGAAAAACUCCGGUGGUAUGAGAUGGACCCGCGUCUGAUUAGGUAGUUGGUGGGGUAACGGCCUACCAAGCCGACGAUCAGUAGCCGACCUGAGAGGGUGACCGGCCACAUUGGGACUGAGACACGGCCCAA